rnacentral:rRNA from 1 species
GCGAAAACUUUGCAAUAAGCGAAAGCUUGACAGGGCUAUCCCGAGUGCCAUCCGCUGAGGAAGGCUUUUACCCAGUCUAGAACGCUGGGGGAAUAAGGAGAGGGCAAGUCUGGUGUCAGCCGCCGCGGUAAUACCAGCUCUCCGAGUGGUGUGGAUGUUUAUUGGGCCUAAAGCAUCCGUAGCUGGCUAGGUUAGUCCCCUGUUAAAUCCACCGAAUUAAUCGCUGGAUUGCGGGGGAUACUACUUGGCUAGGGGACGAGAGAGGCAGACGGUAUUUCCGGGGUAGGGGUGAAAUCCUAUAAUCCCGGGAAGACCACCAGUGGCGAAGGCUGUCUGCUAGAACGCGCCCGACGGUGAGGGAUGAAAGCUGGGGGAGCGAACCGGAUUAGAUACCCGGGUAGUCCCAGCUGUAAACGAUGCAGGCUAGGUGUUUGGACGGCCACGUGCCGUUCUAGUGCCGCAGGGAAGCUGUUAAGUCUGCCGCCUGGGGAGUACGAUCGCAAGAUUGAAACU